rnacentral:rRNA from 1 species
CGUCAAAUCAUCAUGCCCCUUAUGACCUGGGCUACACACGUGCUACAAUGGCCGGGACAAACCGAAGCGAUGCCGUGAGGCGGAGCGAAUCGGAAAAACCCGGUCUAAGUUCGGAUUGCAGUCUGUAACUCGACUGCAUGAAGCUGGAAUCGCUAGUAAUCGUGGAUCAGCAUGCCGCGGUGAAUACGUUCCCGGGUCUU